UACAGGGGGGGCAAGCGUUGUUCGGAAUUACUGGGCGUAAAGGGCCAGUAGGCGGCCAACUAAGUCCGACGUGAAAUCCCCAGGCUUAACCUGGGAACUGCGUCGGAUACUGGAUGGCUUGAAUUCGGGAGAGGGAUGCAGAAUUCCAGGUGUAGCGGUGAAAUGCGUAGAUAUCUGGAGGAAUACCGGUGGCGAAGGCGGCAUCCUGGACCGGCAUUGACGCUGAGGAGCGAAAGCCAGGGGAGCAAACGGG
rnacentral:rRNA from 1 species